rnacentral:rRNA from 1 species
AGAGUUUGAUCCUGGCUCAGAUUGAACGCUGGCGGCAUGCCUUACACAUGCAAGUCGAGCGGCAGCGGGGGGCAACCCUGGCGGCGAGCGGCGCACGGGUAAGUAAUGCAUCGGAACGUGUCCUCUUGUGGGGGAUAACCAGUCGAAAGACUGGCUAAUACCGCAUGAGCACGAGAGUGGAAAGCAGGGGAUCCGCAGGGACCUUGCGCGAGAGGAGCGGCCGAUGCCGGAUUAGCUAGUUGGUGGGGUAAUGGCCUACCAAGGCGACGAUCCGUAGCUGGUUUGAGAGAACGACCAGCCACACUGGGACUGAGACACGGCCCAGACUCCUACGGGAGGCAGCAGUGGGGAAUUUUGGACAAUGGGGGCAACCCUGAUCCAGCCAUGCCGCGUGUGUGAAGAAGGCCUUCGGGUUGUAAAGCACUUUCGGCCGGAACGAAAUCGCGCGGGUGAAUAACACGCGUGGAUGACGGUACCGGAAGAAGAAGCACCGGCUAACUACGUGCCAGCAGCCGCGGUAAUACGUAGGGUGCGAGCGUUAAUCGGAAUUACUAGGCGUAAAGUGUGCGCAGCGGCCGCGCAAGUCGAGUGUGAAAGCCCCGAGCUUAACUUGGGAACUGCGCUCGAAACUACGUGGCUGGAGUGUGGCAGAGGAAGGUGGAAUUCCACGUGUAGCGGUGAAAUGCGUAGAGAUGUGGAGGAACACCGAUGGCGAAGGCAGCCUUCUGGGCCAACACUGACGCUCAUGCACGAAAGCGUGGGGAGCAAACAGGAUUAGAUACCCUAGUAGUCC